CCUUAUGUGAACCUACCUAUCGUUGCUUCGGCGGACUCGCCCCAGCCGGACGCGGACUGGACCAGCGGCCGCCGGGGACCAUCAAACUCUUGUAUUAUCAGCAUCUUCUGAAUACGCCGCAAGGCAAAACAAAUAAAUUAAAACUUUCAACAACGGAUCUCUUGGCUCUGGCAUCGAUGAAGAACGCAGCGAAAUGCGAUAAGUAAUGUGAAUUGCAGAAUCCAGUGAAUCAUCGAAUCUUUGAACGCACAUUGCGCCCGCCAGCAUUCUGGCGGGCAUGCCUGUUCGAGCGUCAUUUCAACCCUCGACCUCCCUUUGGGGAAGUCGGCGUUGGGGACCGGCAGCACACCGCCGGCCCUGAAAUGGAGUGGCGGCCCGUCCGCGGCGACCUCUGCGUAGUAAACCAACUCGCACCGGAACCCCGACGUGGCCACGCCGUAAAACACCCAACUUCUGAACGUUGACCUCGAAUCAGGUAGGACUACCCGCUGAACUUAAG
rnacentral:rRNA from 1 species